AUGGAGUGGAGCUGGAUCACUCUCUUCCUCAUGUCACUAACUACAGGUGUCCACUCCCAGGUUCAGCUGCAGCAGUCUGGGCCUGAGCUUGUGAGGCCUGGGACCUCAGUGAAAUUGUCCUGCAGGACCUCUGACGAUAUCACUGGUUACGAUAUUAACUGGGUGAAGCAGAGGCCUGGACAAGGCCUGGAGUGGAUUGGAUUUAUUUUUCCUGCAUUUGGUAAUACUAACUACAAUCAGAAGUUCCAGGGCAAGGCCACACUGACUGCAGACACAUCCUCCAACACAGCCUACAUGGAGCUCAGAAGCCUGACUUCUGAAGACUCUGCGAUCUAUUACUGUUCAAGAUAUAACUAUUUGCCAAAGACAACUUUCUUGUUCUUGCUGAUGCUGAUUCAUGAAAUUCAUAUUUUUCCAAGAUGA